rnacentral:rRNA from 1 species
GAUGAACGCUGGCGGCGUGCCUAAUACAUGCAAGUCGAGCGAACAGACGAGGAGCUUGCUCCUUUGACGUUAGCGGCGGACGGGUGAGUAACACGUGGAUAACCUACCUAUAAGACUGGGAUAACUUCGGGAAACCGGAGCUAAUACCGGAUAACAUGUUGAACCGCAUGGUUCAACAGUGAAAGACGGUUUUGCUGUCACUUAUAGAUGGAUCCGCGCCGCAUUAGCUAGUUGGUAAGGUAACGGCUUACCAAGGCAACGAUGCGUAGCCGACCUGAGAGGGUGAUCGGCCACACUGGAACUGAGACACGGUCCAGACUCCUACGGGAGGCAGCAGUAGGGAAUCUUCCGAAAUGGGCGAAAGCCUGACGGAGCAACGCCGCGUGAGUGAAGAAGGUCUUCGGAUCGUAAAACUCUGUUAUUAGGGAAGAACAAAUGUGUAAGUAACUAUGCACGUCUUGACGGUACCUAAUCAGAAAGCCACGGCUAACUACGUG